GCGGGUGUAACUCAAUGGUAGAGCGCCAGCCUUCCAAGCUGGAUACGUGGGUUCGAUUCCCAUCACCCGCUCCA
rnacentral:tRNA from 2 species